rnacentral:rRNA from 1 species
UACGAGUGCCCCAAGCGUUAUCCGGAAUUAUUGGGCGUAAAGGGUGUGUAGGUGGUUUUGUUAGUCUUCUGUUAAAGCUCCCGGCUUAACCGGGAAAGUGCAGAGAAAACGGCAAGACUAGAGGAUGUGAGAGGUUUGCGGAACUCAAGGUGUAGGGGUGAAAUCCGUUGAUAUCUUGGGGAACACCAAAAGCGAAGGCAGCAAACUGGCGCAUUCCUGACACUGAAACACGAAAGCGUGGGUAGCGAAUGGG